rnacentral:rRNA from 1 species
UACGUAGGGGGCAAGCGUUGUCCGGAAUCAUUGGGCGUAAAGAGCGUGUAGGUUGUUCGAUAAGUCUGCUGUGAAAGUCCAGGGCUCAACCCUGGGAUGCCGGUGGAUACUGUCUGACUAGAGUACGGAAGAGGCGAGUGGAAUUCCCGGUGUAGCGGUGAAAUGCGCAGAUAUCAGGAGGAACACCGAUGGCGAAGGCAGGUCUCUGGGCAUUAACUGACGCUGAGGAGCGAAAGCAUGGGGAGCGAACAGG